rnacentral:rRNA from 1 species
GAGGAAUAUUGGACAAUGGGCGCAAGCCUGAUCCAGCCAUGCCGCGUGCAGGAAGAAGCAUCUAUGGUGUGUAAACUGCUUUUGUACGGGAAGAAACACUCCUUCGUGAAGGAGCUUGACGGUACCGUAAGAAUAAGGAUCGGCUAACUUCGUGCCAGCAGCCGCGGUAAUAUGGAGGAUCCAAGCGUUAUCCGGAAUCAUUGGGUUUAAAGGGUCCGUAGGCGGUUAAGUAAGUCAGUGGUGAAAGCACAGCGCUCAACGAUGGAACGGCCAUUGAUACUGCUAGACUUGAAUUAUUAAGAAGUAACUAGAAUAUGUAGUGUAGCGGUGAAAUGCUUAGAUAUUACAUGGAAUACCAAUUGCGAAGGCAGGUUACUACUAAUGGAUUGACGCUGAUGGACGAAAGCGUGGGGAGCGAACA